rnacentral:rRNA from 1 species
GACGAACGCUGGCGGCGUGCCUAAUACAUGCAAGUCGAGCGAAUCUUUGGGAGCUUGCUCCCAAAGAUUAGCGGCGGACGGGUGAGUAACACGUGGAUAACCUGCCCUCGGCACCGGGAUAGCCCGAGGAAACUCGGAUUAAUACCGGAUAGCCAUUCCGACUCUCGGGUCGGUCUGAAAAGGUAGCUUCGGCCUCUGGUCGAGGAUGGGGUCCGCGGCGGAUUAGCUAGUUGGUGGGGUAACGGCCUACCAAGGCAACGAUCCGUAGCUGGUCUGAGAGGACGAUCAGCCACACUGGGACUGAGACACGGCCCAGACUCCUACGGGAGGCUG